rnacentral:rRNA from 1 species
AUUGAACGCUGGCGGCAUGCCUUACACAUGCAAGUCGAACGCUGCCGCGGGGGCAACCCUGCGGCGAGUGGCGAACGGGUGAGUAAUGCAUCGGAACGUGUCCUUUUGUGGGGGAUAACCAGUCGAAAGAUUGGCUAAUACCGCAUGAGCUCGAGAGAGGAAAGCAGGGGACCCGCAAGGGCCUUGCGCGAGAGGAGCGGCCGAUGCCCGAUUAGCUAGUUGGNGGGUAAUGGCCACCAAGGCGACGAUCGGUAGCUGGUCUGAGAGGACGACCAGCCACACUGGGACUGAGACACGGGCCCAGACUCCUACGGGAGGCAGCAGUGGGGAAUUUGGACAAUGGGGGCAACCCUGAUCCAGCCAUGCCGCGUGUGUGAAGAAGG